rnacentral:rRNA from 1 species
UACGAAGGGUGCUAGCGUUGCUCGGAAUCAUUGGGCGUAAAGCGCACGUAGGCGGCUUGUUAAGUCAGGGGUGAAAUCCUGGAGCUCAACUCCAGAACUGCCUUUGAUACUGGCGAGCUUGAGUUCGGGAGAGGUGAGUGGAACUGCGAGUGUAGAGGUGAAAUUCGUAGAUAUUCGCAAGAACACCAGUGGCGAAGGCGGCUCACUGGCCCGAUACUGACGCUGAGGCACGAAAGCGUGGGGAGCAAACAGG